rnacentral:lncRNA from 1 species
GUAAAUAAAAUUAUUUUUGUUGAAAUUAAAAUUUAUCAUAAGAUUAGAAACUUGUUUGUGCAUUCAUGCUGAAGAAUAUUUUCUUUUGUAUUUUUUUCCUCUGGCUUGAAUUUAUUUGCAUUCAAAAUUUUAUUUGGAAAAGGUUUUAGGAAGAGAAAACAGAAAAGAAAAAAAAAAAGAGAAAGACCCCAGCCCAGCUGUCCCCUGGCCUAUUUUUUCCCCCCGCUCGCGGCCCA